GUCUGGGAGUAUGCCACUGUACACAGAAUUUUGUGACAAAAUAAUUCGGGCACAGUUGAUUAAAAAACAGGAAAUCUUCAGGAUGAAAAAGCUCUCUUCCCUGUUCCAGAAAAUGAUACGAGAACACCAUGGUCAUGGAAGUUACAGAUCAGAUCUUCUGAAGAAAAGACUGAGGCAAGACUUUCCCCAACUAAAUUUCUACAAGCCUCUGAGGAAAAACCUGAGUGAAAUGGUUUUUACAGAAGCUACAGGACUUCUCAACAAGGGUUCAUCAACUGAAACUGAGUCAUCAGGAUCGCAAGAUACUUUGUCGAGUGGUGGAGAGACAGUUCAGGAAGGUCGUACAUAUGCAGCACAACGAGACCAUACCAGAACCAUUGAUAGUGCAGGUAUAAUUCUUAAACAAGCAGUUAAGAGUGCCCCUAAAAUGAGUGCCAAUUGGCCUCCUACAUCUGAGGAUCUAAAUAUUUCCUCAGCUAGAAAGAUUGUGCCAAUUGAACUGUAUAAUUUACUUGCUUGGUGCAUAGGUGUAAGUGAUGAGUUGACAUUAUCUAACAUGGUUAAUGUAUCGGAGGAGGUUGAUCUUCGUUUACUGUCAAUCUGCCAAGAUAUUAUUUAUUUAUCCUCAAAAGGUAGAAAUCAAACCCCAAAAUCUCUAACACUUGGUUUAACUCUGCACUACUUGACAGGGUCAUUUCAGGUUGUAAAUAUGGUGAGUAAACUUGGUCACUGUGUAUCUUGGGAAUCUGUUGUAGGUUUUGAGACAAGUCUUGCUCAGCUUCAGUUGUCCAGAGGUUUGGAUCUCCCACAAGGGUUUGCCAGUAAUAACUUUAUUGUUCUAGUGUGGGACAAUGUAGAUUUUGGAGAGGAAACAUCGUCAGGGAAGGGUACCACCCAUCACACUAUUUUCUAUUGUAAUUCUGAAGUCGUAACAACCUGAAGUGAUCCUAAAAAGUUUAACAUCUCUUGCUGGGUCCAACAAAAGUCAUUGUUUAAAAACAGAAAUGUCUUCGUGCCUAGUUUUCACUGUUCAAAUUUUAGCUGUGUAAAAUUUUGCUUCCAAUAUUGUAACUGGUCUGCUAGGUGAUAAAAUUCACACCACUUUUCAUAGUUAUUAGUUAACCAGACACAAAAGGAGAUCUUGUUAUUAGAGUUUUUCAAUUGAAAAUUCAAAGAAUUGCAGUUUUCAUGUGCAAUAAAGAUAUAUUAUGGGCAAUUGUGAAAUUGUUAAAAAGUGUAUUUUUUCAUUUAGAAUAAUUCCUUACUUAAAGCACGCAGAACAUUGCCGCUUUAUAAGCUCUGAGUAAGUAUGAAUGUCUGUAGGAAUCAUAAUUUUGAGUCCGAUCGCCUGAAUAAUAAAAAAGUUACAAGGGUUUGAAAAUGGUAGAAGACCCAAAUUUGUCACUUUUUUGGGUAAACUGCCACCUUUGGCACCCAUUUUCUCAAAUACUGGCAGGAAUCCCAUGGAGAACUUUUUUCCCCAGCUCGAGUACAUAUUUAAGAUUGGAAAACUGCUGUCGAAAAGUAGUCCCCAGGUUAGUGGAGCGAAAUCCUAUUUCUAGCCUCAUUUUGAGCUUCAGCCUAUGGCC